rnacentral:rRNA from 1 species
UACGAGGGGUGCAAGCGUUGCUCGGAAUUAUUGGGCGUAAAGGGUAGGUAGGUGGUCUCAUUUGUCCGGGUGAAAGCCUUGAGCUUAACUCAAGAAGUGCCUCGGAAACGGUGAGACUGGAGUCCUGGAGAGGGUCGUGGAAUUCCCGGUGUAGCGGUGAAAUGCGUAGAGAUCGGGAGGAACACCAGAGGCGAAGGCGACUACCUGGCCUGUUCUUGACGCUGAGGCGCGAAAGCUAGGGGAGCAAACAGG